rnacentral:rRNA from 1 species
CGUACACUCCUGAGGGAGGCAGCAGUGGGGAAUUUUGGACAAUGGGCGAAAGCCUGAUCCAGCAAUGCCGCGUGAGUGAAGAAGGCCUUCGGGUUGUAAAGCUCUUUUGUCAGGGAAGAAACGGUGAAAGCUAAUAUCUUUUGCUAAUGACGGUACCUGAAGAAUAAGCACCGGCUAACUACGUGCCAGCAGCCGCGGUAAUACGUAGGGUGCAAGCGUUAAUCGGAAUUACUGGGCGUAAAGCGUGCGCAGGCGGUUUUGUAAGUCUGAUGUGAAAUCCCCGGGCUCAACCUGGGAAUUGCAUUGGAGACUGCAAGGCUAGAAUCUGGCGGAGGGGGGUAGAAUUCCACGUGUAGCAGUGAAAUGCGUAGAUAUGUGGAGGAACACCGAUGGCGAAGGCAGCCCCCUGGGUCAAGAUUGACGCUCAUGCACGAAAGCGUGGGGAGCAAACAGGAUUAGAUACCCCAGUAGUCCCAUGA